UGGGGAAUUUUGGACAAUGGGCGCAAGCCUGAUCCAGCCAUGCCGCGUGCAGGAUGAAGGCCUUCGGGUCGUAAACUGCUUUUGUACGGAACGAAACGGCCUUUUCUAAUAAAGAGGGCUAAUGACGGUACCGUAAGAAUAAGCACCGGCUAACUACGUGCCAG
rnacentral:rRNA from 1 species